rnacentral:rRNA from 1 species
UACGGAGGGUGCAAGCGUUAUCCGGAUUCACUGGGUUUAAAGGGUGCGUAGGUGGGUAGGAAAGUCAGUGGUGAAAUCUUCGGGCUUAACCCGGAAACUGCCAUUGAUACUAUUUAUCUUGAAUACUUUGGAGGUAAGCGGAAUAUGUCAUGUAGCGGUGAAAUGCUUAGAUAUGACAUAGAACACCAAUUGCGAAGGCAGCUCGCUACACAUAUAUUGACUCUGAGGCACGAAAGCGUGGGGAUCAAACAGGG